rnacentral:rRNA from 1 species
AGCAGCCGCCGCGGUAAUACAGAGGGUGCAAGCGUUAAUCGGAAUUACUGGGCGUAAAGCGCGCGUAGGUGGUUUGUUAAGUUGGAUGUGAAAGCCCCGGGCUCAACCUGGGAACUGCAUCCAAAACUGGCAAGCUAGAGUACGGUAGAGGGUGGUGGAAUUUCCUGUGUAGCGGUGAAAUGCGUAGAUAUAGGAAGGAACACCAGUGGCGAAGGCGACCACCUGGACUGAUACUGACACUGAGGUGCGAAAGCGUGGGGAGCAAACAGGAUUAGAUACCCAGUAGUCCCUGUCUCUUAUACA